rnacentral:rRNA from 1 species
UACAGAGGUCUCAAGCGUUGUUCGGAUUCAUUGGGCGUAAAGGGUGCGUAGGCGGCGCGGUAAGUCGGGUGUGAAAUCUCGGGGCUUAACUCCGAAACUGCAUUCGAUACUGCCGUGCUUGAGGACUGGAGAGGAGACUGGAAUUUACGGUGUAGCGGUGAAAUGCGUAGAUAUCGCAAGGAAGACCAGUGGCGAAGGCGGGUCUCUGGACAGUUCCUGACGCUGAGGCACGAAGGCCAGGGGAGCAAACGGG